CUCCCCCAGCCCCGCAGCCAGACCUCCCAGGCUCCCCACCCCCGCAGCGCUGCGGGAUUCAGACCUGGCUGGCCCUGACCACAGCUGGGCUGAGCUCCCUUGCCGGGUCUCAGCUGGUUUUGCUGUGAGUGGCACACAGGGAGUGCUGGGCAGCGUGAACGCUGGCGUCCUGGGUUUGCAGGGACCAGUGAAACCAGCCACUCAACCGCCCCAUACGAAUCAUGCCCCCUCCCCCGUCAGAAACCAGGGCGUGUGCAGGUUGUAGAAAGGGGAGUGUGUGAUCUGCCAGCCUUUGGAGAAAACUCUGCGAAGCUUGACUGCCUGUUGCUCCUGGGCCAGUGGUGUGCCCUGUGCCCUUCUUUAUCCCAGUGGACUCACCUCUCUGCGCCUCCCAGUACGCUGUGAGCGCUCUAGGGCAGGAAUCCCAGCAUGGUGCUUGGCACACAGGAGAUGCUCAUGCAAAUGAUCAUCUUUGUUGAAUGAAUGAAUGACUGAAUGAACAUCUGAAGAGGUUCUGUGCUCUGGCCACCCCUACUUGGACUAUGGUGAAUUAUGGAGCUGAGAGGAAUUCUAGGUCAUCAGCUCCACCCCUCUUUCCAGGUGAAGACGACCUAAUGUAAACCACCUCCAAACCCUGUCACAGCACGAUGGCUUCCAGGACACCCCAACCCAGUUGGCCCUCAAUCCCGCUGUGUCCUGACACACCUGCUCCUCUCCUUUGGCUUCUGGUCAUGGCUUACUUUGAGAUGUCCUUUGACCUACUUUUCUUUAUUGUCUUGGCUUUUAACCUGUAAUUUCCUGUUUCUCUAAAUUAUAAACGUUCUGAAGGGAGUAAGCAUGCCUUAUAUUUCUUUACAUCCUUACUGGAGCUCUAGUAGAGCUCAAUAAAUAUUUAUUGGCUAACCUUCUUUGACAC